CUUUUCCGGGGAAUAUGGAUCUGUCCCUUCCUCCUUAUACCUCCUCCUAUUAUGUUCUCAGAACUGUGUAAUUCUUCUCACACUCAGUAUGAGAAGUGUCAUCUCUAAUGCCGCAUCUAUCGAUUAGCAGUGUCUGUCUGCAGUGUGGUAUUGACAGGGAUUCCGAGGCUACAGGAAAUACUGCCAUGAUUGAUUUGCAAUGUCUGCCACAGGCACAGGAGAGAACACUGUUGGCAAGUGCACAAGGCAACGUACCUGGUAGUCCUUGAAGGUGGAUGAAAGGAAGUAAAUCAUGAUGCAGUUUAAAAAUCCCUUCAUCUAUAAUCUGACGUACUUCUGUGAACAUAUACACCAGUUUGGUUUGUGACCAGAAUCAUGGAAAGAGCCAUCAGAAAAAUGAAACGAAGCAACAUGGAUAAACCUGCUUCCCAGUAUACGAAGCAGUUUGCACAUGAAAGGGUUCUCAUAUGGUUGUUCACUCCGAAUGAGCAGCUUCCCGACACACAGAAUGGGCUUCAUGAUCGUUCCACCCCUCGCCGCGCUCCCUGAUAACUAGAAGACCCUCUGUUUCCUUUAAAAAGUGAAACUGGGCCAAGCACAGGGCCAGGCGCCUGGAAUCACACUCUCAGUGGGGC
rnacentral:lncRNA from 1 species